rnacentral:rRNA from 1 species
GCACAAGCGGUGGAGCAUGUGGUUUAAUUCGAUGCAACGCGAAGAACCUUACCUGGGCUUGACAUCCCUGGAAUCCCCUGGAAACAGGGGAGUGCCCUUCGGGGAGCCAGGAGACAGGUGCUGCAUGGCUGUCGUCAGCUCGUGUCGUGAGAUGUUGGGUUAAGUCCCGCAACGAGCGCAACCCUUGUCUUUAAUUGCCAUCAUUCAGUUGGGCACUUUAAAGAGACUGCCGGUGUUAAACCGGAGGAAGGUGGGAUGACGUCAAGUCCUCAUGGCCUUUAUGCCCAGGGCUACACACGUGCUACAAUGGGUGGUACAAAGAGAUGCAAUCUCGCAAGAGCAAGCAAACCUCAAAAAGCCAUCCUCAGUUCGGAUUGGAGUCUGCAACUCGACUUCAUGAAGUUGGAAUCGCUAGUAAUCGCGGAUCAGCAUGCCGCGGUCGAAUACGUUCCGGGCCUU